rnacentral:sRNA from 1 species
ACAGAUGAAGGCGACUAUCAGGUAAAACUCCGCAGCCUGAUUCGCUUUCUCGAAGAGGGCGAUAAGGCCAAAAUCACGCUGCGUUUCCGCGGUCGUGAAAUGGCCCACCAGCAAAUCGGUAUGGAAGUGCUUAAUCGCGUGAAAGACGAUUUGCAAGAACUGGCAGUGGUCGAAUCCUUCCCAACGAAGAUCGAAGGCCGUCAGAUGAUCAUGGUGCUUGCUCCUAAGAAGAAACAGUAAGGCCUUCAAGUAACAAUUCUGUGAAGCCUUCGGGCUUCACAGGCUUUGUUCGCCUAUGUUUCGUUUAUUAACAAUGCGAAGUGGAAGUUAUUAAAAUGCCAA